UGACUUCGUUUCCCUUCCAAACCCGGCAGCCGCGGCUGAGAGGCUGCAAUAGACAGAAGUGGCCGCGCCUUGUGUUUGUGCCGUUAAGGGCUAAACCCUCCUUACCCUGACAGUGAGAAUUUACCCUGCAGCUCAGCGAGCAAUGCCAGUGUGGGUACAGUUUGUGCUCAUUUUAGCUGCUUGGAAAGGUGCCCAGUCCCAGAUGCAGCUGGUGGAGUCCGGGGGGGCUGUUAGAAAUGAAGGGGAGUCCAUCCGGCUCUCCUGUAAAGGCACCGGCUUCACCUUCAGCAGCUACAAUAUGUACUGGUACCGGCAGAGACCCGGGGAAAGCCCGGAGUUUGUCUCACGUAUUUACUACGACGGGACUGACCCACGUUACGCGGCUUGGGCCCAAGGGCGAUUCACCAUCUCCAGGGACAACGCCAGGAGCGAGCUGUACCUGGGAAUGAGCCGCCUGAGGCGGGAGGACACCGCCCGGUAUCACUGCGCUGCUAGAGAGGCACAGUGAGGGGAAGCCGGUGUGAGCUGACACAAAAACCUAACGUCCUCGGGCUGAACUCAGCUUCUUUGGGGGCUGAGGGCAGAAACCCGGCGCCCUCGGUGCCGGAAGAGAGGGGAAACUGUGCCACUGCAGGAGGCACCAGGGAGGAGUGAGUCCCGGGGGAUAUGUAGGAGGGUGGGGAACACGGGAUACCCCUACCUCAGCGCUUACAUUAGACGGACACAGAUGCCAUGGAGGGAGUGUGGCUUGGGUCUGCCUGCUGCUCUGCCCUGUAGCCUGCAGACUUACGAGACGCAGCAAGAGGAGGAAAGACAGACACACAGCACCUCCCUUCUCCCCCAGCGCAUUGCUCGGGGUGUGCAAAGGGGAAGAUCUCCUCGGCGCCUCAUUUCAGCUCCCUUCCCCCGGGCGCUCCUAUAGCUACGCGUCUGCAAAGCGCGAACCUCAGCCCGGGGCUUAGGCAGCCACCCUGAGCGUUCACAGCUCUGCAGGGCCAAAGCCGGAGGCAGGGUUAUUCUUUAC